UGUCCUUCAAGACCUUCCCUCUGUAAUUGCAUGUGGCAGCCUCUUUAGAGCUAGGUGCCGACUGCUGCUCCAAAACAGAAACAAAAAAUAACAGGCAAGAAAGGGCAUUGCAGCAAGUCCUUAGGAGGGGUGUUGCUCCUUUGUUUCACGGUGGGGUCAGUAAAGGGGGAGGUAGGAAAUGCCAUUUAGCUCAGGGGCACUGCUGUUUGUCUUUGUGACCGAGCGUGGGCCAGCACUCAGCAGCUCAACCCCCAUAACAACUCUCCUUCCUUGAGCUUCCACUCAAAACCCUGACCCUGGAGGCAGCACAGCUGAGCAAGCAAAGGGCAUUUGCUGCCCUGCCUUACCUGGCUGCCUGCUUAGCAAAACCGGCCUUGAGGCCCAGCCGUGAGGGGCCAGGGGCCUCGUUCCAGGGGGAUUGGCAGCAGCGUGGAGCUGAUCCCCCGUCACUGUAAUAUCCUGGGCUGGGGGGGAGCCAGUGCUGAGCAAAGAGCCCCCUGCAGCUGGGGAGGGACUGCUGCCCUCAACAGGAGCCCAGCACGGAGCAGCAAAGGCUCGUCCUGCCUCUGGCACCAGCGCUGAGGGAGGUGGGCUGCGUGUGGGGAACGCAGAGCAGCGCUGGCCUGCCCUUGUGGCCUCUGCACCGUGCUCAGACAAGCUCAGACUUUCCCAGGAAGCCUCUGCCAAUUCCAUGGAGUGCGGGUCAGACCCCACAUUAUUACUGUCACAGCUCUUGUGGAUUUUGGGAGAUUUAGCCCAAGAAAGAACUUUGUGAGCGCAAGCACUUCAAUGGCUGGUGACUGGAAAAGGGACUUGGAUUUUUCCCCUCUGAGGACAAUAAUCUCCUGUUGAAGUACUGUGGUUGAAGAUUUAUUUUUGCUUUUGAAGAUAAAUGACCAUUUGGAAUGGAUGUUAUUCACUGAAAGUUAGGAAAUAACAGUUUAUACUGAAACCAAAGGAAUAUUGUCUUUGUUUUGAUUGACUCAUAUGACAAAACAUGAGUUUUCCAGUGGUAGGGCCAAUGCCUAUUUUUUUUUUUUCCUGGCAUUUUUUUGCUGUUAUUGUUGUUUUGUUUCAAUAAAAAGAAUUUGGAUUCAUUAA